UACGUAGGGGGCAAGCGUUGUCCGGAAUUACUGGGCGUAAAGAGCGCGCAGGCGGUCGUUCAAGUCGCGUGUGAAAGCCCCCGGCUCAACUGGGGAGGGUCACGCGAUACUGAUCGACUCGAAGGCAGGAGAGGGUAGUGGAAUUCCCGGUGUAGUGGUGAAAUGCGUAGAUAUCGGGAGGAACACCAGUGGCGAAGGCGGUUGCCUGGAGCUUUGCUGACGCUGAUGCGCGAAAGCGUGGGGAGCGAUCCGG
rnacentral:rRNA from 1 species